CUGCGAAUGGCUCAUUAAAUCAGUUAUAGUUUAUUUGAUGGUACCUUGCUACAUGGAUAACUGUGGUAAUUCUAGAGCUAAUACAUGCGAUAAAGCCCCGACUUCUGGGAGGGGUGUAUUUAUUAGAUAAAAAACCAACGCGGUUCGCCGCUCCAUUGGUGAUUCAUAAUAACUUCUCGAAUCGCACGGCCUUGCGCUGGCGAUGCUUCAUUCAAAUAUCUGCCCUAUCAACUUUCGAUGGUAGGAUAGUGGCCUACCAUGGUUUCAACGGGUAACGGGGAAUAAGGGUUCGAUUCCGGAGAGGGAGCCUGAGAAACGGCUACCACAUCCAAGGAAGGCAGCAGGCGCGCAAAUUACCCAAUCCCGACACGGGGAGGUAGUGACAAUAAAUAACAAUAUAGGGCCCUUUCGGGUCUUAUAAUUGGAAUGAGUACAAUUUAAAUCCCUUAACGAGGAACGAUUGGAGGGCAAGUCUGGUGCCAGCAGCCGCGGUAAUUCCAGCUCCAAUAGCGUAUAUUAAAGUUGUUGCAGUUAAAAAGCUCGUAGUUGAACUUCAGACCUGGCCGGACGGUCUGCCUCACGGUAUGUACUGUCCUUGGCCGGGCCUUACCUCUUGGUGAGCCAUCAUGUCCUUUGUUGGGUGUGGUGGGGAACCAGGACCUUUACCUUGAGAAAAUUAGAGUGUUCAAAGCAGGCCUAUGCCCGAAUACAUUAGCAUGGAAUAAUAAAAUAGGACGUGCGGUUCUAUUUUGUUGGUUUCUAGAGUCGCCGUAAUGAUUAAUAGGGAUAGUUGGGGGCAUUAGUAUUCGGUUGCUAGAGGUGAAAUUCUUGGAUUUACCGAAGACUAACUACUGCGAAAGCAUUUGCCAAGGAUGUUUUCAUUAAUCAAGAACGAAGGUUAGGGGAUCGAAAACGAUCAGAUACCGUUGUAGUCUUAACAGUAAACCAUGCCGACUAGGGAUCGGGCGAACUCGAUUUUAUGUGACGCCCGGCACCUUACGAGAAAUCA
rnacentral:rRNA from 1 species